rnacentral:tRNA from 1 species
UAAUGUAUAUAUCACUUACAAUGAUAAGGUCUAAAUUAAUAGAAUUCAUUAAUAUUAUAUUACUGCAAAG